rnacentral:sRNA from 1 species
AAUUAGAAUAAACAAAAACGUCAGCACAUUAAAUAAAUUGAAACUGAAACUAUGAAAAGAUAGGGUUGGAAACAUCAACUUUUUUAAUCUAUGUGUGUGUUAUUUUAUAAUGUUUAAACUAAAGAUAAAAGUAAUUUUUCAGUCUUCUGUCAUGGUUAGCAAUCAGGGGGAACUUGAAUAAAUGAUAAAAUUAUUAGUUUCUUUUUUAUUUAGCUCAGUGAAAGCCAAACAUUUUCACCUUUUAAACCUAUAAGAUAGAGCCACUGUUGUGACCAAAAGAAAAAUCAAUUGAACCAAAGUGCUGUUUGAUUAAGACUUUUUUUAAAGAGUCCUUCUUUGAGAUCAUGGGACCCUUAUUAUUUUCUCAGAUAACCUUCUAUAUAAACUGGUAAGUAAUAAAUAUUUCAUGAAUUCUUUAAUGAAAGCUCUUGUUGAAUAAGAUUACAUACUGGUCAAAUUAUUUGAAUAAUGGGUUGACAAUCUUAGUAUAUUUGGAUCAAAACAUUACCAAGUUUUAAUUUUACACAAAAAGUAUAGGAAUUAGCUUUUACUAAAUCAAAAACAAAAUUGUUACAUAUCAGAGGUCGCAAAGUGGAUUUUUCAAACUAAUGGUGAUUUUAAAAAAAAGAAAGAUAAAAACAUGCUUAUCAUCUAUGUGUCUUCAUAUGAACAUCUUUUAUCACAGUUGCAGCAUGCAAACAGUUGCAUGUAACCACAACAGCGAGAACAACCAAGACAUGCACCACAAGCAACAACAACAGACUUCUGAUUGGUGUUACAUCAUUUCAAUGGGAUGAAGCCAGAUAAAAAAAAAAGGACAUAUAAAUAUGAAA